GUCGAAAUUGGGAUUUAUUUAAAUAAACAGUACAAGCAAAUAUGAGCACGCGAUCCACUUUACAGUUAUAGAAUCACCGAGACAGAGAAAAUACAUCAAUAAUUCUCCUCUACAUUUUUUUUUUUUCCUUUCUUUUUCUUCUCUUUUUCUUUCCAUUAAAUUUGUCCCCCAACUUUUCCCCACCACGCAAUUAUGCAACUAAAUCAAGCUAAUUCAAUAACUCUCCCACUUAACUCACAUCUCCCUCUAUUUGCACAACUCCAGCCAAGAAACAAAACAUUCCCUAUCAUUUUCACCGUGAGUCCUCUUCAAAGAGCAGGAAGUCUCCAUUUCGUCCAGCCAAAUUCUUAAGGUAAGCUUUGCUAUAAUCUUCCAUUUUCUUCCAUUAUCCGCCUGCAAUCAGCCUGCAAUCACUGAGACAACAACACAAAUUUAUUUCAGUUCCAGUUCAUUCACCACACCACAACCGAAAAGUGAGAGAAAUCACUCAUUCACUCCCUGCCAGAAUCAAUAAGUUCAGUCAUUCCAAUUCAUUCAACUCCAACAGCCAUCAAUCAGUUCGAUCAUAUUCAAGGUCAAGGGCGAGAUUGACAAUCUGUUGAGGAGCUUUUGUAUCACAGAAAAUCACUAUCAGGUUGAGCAGCUGCCGAUGUUGAUGAAGUGAUGAGCGGGAUUCUUUUGUCUUUUUAUGUAUUAAAGAACUCUAGGGUUACAUGUCUUCAUACAUGUAAUCAGAAUCAUAAUCCGCUGCGUACUCAGAAGUUUUAUGCUUAUUUGGCUAAGUCAGAAAUAUCUGAACUUAUUAGUUAUCUGAGUCUAUACGACUAAACUUCUGUUAUAUUAUAAAUAUUCCUUUUGUUAAAUGAUGAAAUGUGAUCCUUCUUUGUUUAAUUAUCCCCUUUCUACCCCGCUUCUA